AAGUCCCUCUUAUAAUCUAGAUUCUUGGGAGUGCACCUGAAUACAUAGCCAAGAUGGAGGGAGCAACCCGCACAGUACAGGGUCUCGAGAAUGCAACCAUUUUCAUCUUUACGUUUGGAAAGCUUCUGCUCUUUAUCCACAGAAACAUUACAGGAAACACCUGGGAACCAGGCCCCAGCCCCCCCAGCGCGGCCUGCCCGCACUGACAGCGCAG
rnacentral:lncRNA from 1 species